AGAGAGAGACAUGCGCGCAUAUCAAUAAGCGGAGGAAAAGAAACUAACAAGGAUUCCCCUAGUAACGGCGAGUGAAGCGGGAAGAGCUCAAAUUUGAAAUCUUAAAGGGUUUCCCUUUACGAAUUGUAGUUUAAAGAAGUGUUUUCUGUUGAGGUUUUGGUAAAAGUUCUUUGGAAUAGGACAUCAUAGAGGGUGAGAAUCCCGUAUUUGACCUUUACUUUCAACUUUGUGAUACACUUUCAAAGAGUCGGAUUGUUUGGGAAUGCAGUCCAAAAUGGGUGGUAAAUUUCAUCUAAAGCUAAAUAUUGGCGAGAGACCGAUAGCGAACAAGUACCGUGAGGGAAAGAUGAAAAGAACUUUGAAAAGAGAGUUAAACAGUACGUGAAAUUGUCAAAAGGGAAGUGUUUGACACCAGUGUUGUUUUUCUGAAAAUCAAUUAAAGAACUGUUUAUGCUAAGCUGUUUAGACUUUAUCAGCUAUCUGUUUAGUUUUGAGCUUUUCUUUAAUGCACUUUUCAGUUAACAAGUCAACAUCAAUUUCUUUUGCUGUAAAAAAGCUUGAGGAAGGUGGCUUGAGAUUCGUCUUAAGUGUUUAUAGCCUCUUGCCUAUGCAGUCGGAGAGAUUGAGGUCUGCAGCGUAGAUCCUUCGGGGCUAAAUGCAUUUGUGCUAAGUUAUAGCAUUUUAUAGACAACUUGUUGACUAUGAUUUGUCUUGUAGCUUACUCGCUUAUGUUAUUUUACCUACGCUUAGGAUGUUGACGCAUGAGAUAUACGC
rnacentral:rRNA from 1 species